UGUGUCAGCAUGGCCUGGACUCCUCUCUUCCUCCUGUUCCUCUCUCUCUGCUCAGGUUCCCCGUCCCAGCCCGUGCUGACCCAGCCGCCCUCCCUUCUCCGCAUCUCUGGGAACGACGGCCAGACUCACCUGCACCUGAGCAGUGGCUUCAGUGUGGGUGACUAUAGCAUAUUCUGGUACCAGCAGCAACCUGGGAGCCCUCCCCGGGAUCUUCUAUAUUACUCUUCAGGCUCCGAUAAGCACCAGGGCUCCGGGGUCCCCAGCCGCUUCUCGGGCUCCAAAGACGCCUCGGCCAAUGCAGGGCUUCUGCGCAUCUCUGGGCUGCAGGCUGAGGCCGAGGCAGACCAUUACUGUGCUCUAUAUCAUUAUAUUGGGAACGACUAUCAUUACUCAUAGUGUCUCAAAUAACGAGGAAGUGAGACAAAAACCUGUGGGUCCCCAGACCUUGUCUCUGAGCCUCUUUUACUGAGAAGCUUCUGUGGAAGCUCCUGUAGGGGAGACUCCUCUGUUGGGGAGACUGUCCUUGAGGAGGGAGGAG